GGGGAUGACGUCAAGUCAUCAUGGCCCUUACGAGUAGGGCUACACACGUGCUACAAUGGCGCAUACAAAGAGAAGCGAACUCGCGAGAGCAAGCGGACCUCAUAAAGUGCGUCGUAGUCCGGAUUGGAGUCUGCAACUCGACUCCAUGAAGUCGGAAUCGUAAGUAAUCGUAGAUCAGAAUGCUACGGUGAAUACGUUCCCGGGCCUUGUACACACCGCCC
rnacentral:rRNA from 1 species